rnacentral:rRNA from 1 species
AUUGAACGCUGGCGGAAUGCUUUACACAUGCAAGUCGAACGGCAGCACGGACUUCGGUCUGGUGGCGAGUGGCGAACGGGUGAGUAAUACAUCGGAACGUGCCCGGACGUGGGGGAUAACUACUCGAAAGAGUGGCUAAUACCGCAUACGAUCCAAGGAUGAAAGCGGGGGAUCGCAAGACCUCGCGCGUUUGGAGCGGCCGAUGGCAGAUUAGGUAGUUGGUGAGGUAAAGGCUUACCAAGCCUGCGAUCUGUAGCUGGUCUGAGAGGAUGAUCAGCCACACUGGGACUGAGACACGGCCCAGACUCCUACGGGAGGCAGCAGUGGGGAAUUUUGGACAAUGGGCGAAAGCCUGAUCCAGCCAUUCCGCGUGCAGGAUGAAGGCCCUCGGGUUGUAAACUGCUUUUGUACGGAACGAAAAGGCUCUUGCUAAUACCAGGAGUCCAUGACGGUACCGUAAGAAUAAGCAACCGGCUAACUACGUGCCAGCAGCCG